rnacentral:rRNA from 1 species
AUGAACGCUGACAGAAUGCUUAACCCCUGCAAGUCAACUUGAACUUCGGUUUGGGUGGCGGACGGGUGAGUAACGCGUAAAGAACUUGCCUCACAGCUAGGGACAACAUUUGGAAACGAAUGCUAAUACCUGAUAUUAUGAUUUUAGGGCAUCCUAGAAUUAUGAAAGCUAUAUGCGCUGUGAGAGAGCUUUGCGUCCCAUUAGCUAGUUGGAGAGGUAACGGCUCACCAAGGCGAUGAUGGGUAGCCGGCCUGAGAGGGUGAACGGCCACAAGGGGACUGAGACACGGCCCUUACUCCUACGGGAGGCAGCAGUGGGGAAUAUUGGACAAUGGACCAAGAGUCUGAUCCAGCAAUUCUGUGUGCACGAUGAAGUUUUUCGGAAUGUAAAGUGCUUUCAGUUGGGAAGAAAAAAAUGACGGUACCAACAGAAGAAGUGACGGCUAAAUACGUG